ensembl:lncRNA
CUUGAAUGAUAUAAAAAAUGACCAGAACAAAUAUUCCGAUUUUCUUUUAUCAUAUUUUAAUUUAUUAUUUCCUUUAUCAACGUGUGUAAGUUAUUCUAUUCGAACACAAAGUGAAACAUACGUUGAUUAUGACAAAUAUAAUAUUAUGCAAUUAGAAAGUGACAUAAAAUUAAACCAGUAUUUGAAUGAAACAGAAAGUAUACCAUUUAAAACUAUUGAAGAAUAUAAAGAAAAGUUAAAUAAUAUAAAUAAAAAAUAUGAUAAGAUUUUAGAAAAUACUAAUGAUAUAAUUACACAUAAAAAUAUUAUAAUUGGUGUAAACACAAAUAUAUUAAAUAUAAAUAAAACGAAAGAAUAUUUACAAAAUACGUAUGACAAUGAUAAAAAUAAUGAUAAAAUAUAUAAUAUGGUAAACAUGCAAAGAACGGAAGAAGAUAAAAAGAUGGAUGAAAAAAUAGACAGUAACAACGAAUCUAACCUUGAUUAUGAAAGUGAAUUUAAUAGCAAAGCUAAUAAAUAUUUAUUAAACAUUUUGGAUAAGGAAGAAGUACACAUAGAAGUUGUUUAUAUGACCGAUAUGAAUGAAACAGAUCUUGAAAAGUUGACUUAUUAUAAAAAAAUAAAAACAAAAAAAAAUAAUAGUGCUAAUGGUAAUGCAUAUAAUUUAAUUAAUAUGAAAAAUAAUAUGGACAAUAAUAUGGAAAAACCAAUUGAAAAAUGUACAAAAUUAAAAAAUAUUAUUAAUUAUUAUUAUGAAAAUUAUGUAAAAGAUAAAAAUUCUUUAAUAAAGUUUUUUUUUUUAUCACAAAAUAAUACAUUUAUAAAUGUAAAAAAUCUUGUUGAUGUUAUUAAUUUAACCUUAAAUCCUUGUGUUCAUUCAAAAAAAUAUUUAUAUGACAAAUAUGUAAACACUUUUAAUUUUUUACAAACUAAUGAACAAUUAUUUGUUAAUAAUUUUUCGAACAAUUCUUUAUUUUUUUAUCAAUAUAUAAAACAACGAUUUAAUGAUAUUAUAAAUGAACUGAAAAAAUAUGAUUAUACACCUACCUAUUGUAAAAAAAAUUCCAACAAUGUAAAAAAUAAUGUAGAUUAUGUUAAAACAAUUAAUAAUAGUUCUACCAUACCAAACACUAUUAAUGAAAAAAUAAUUUAUAAAAAUGACUUAAACGAUAUGAUGCCUGUAUAUGCCGGUCAUAGAUCAAUAUACAACAUAUACAAUUCUUCUGAGGAUAAACAAAACAGUUAUGCAUAUAUUACAGGUGGUGCAGGUAUAUUAAUUAAUGGGGAGUUAGCCAAACAAAUAUAUAAUUGUAAGUCAUGUACAUGUCAACAACAAACAAAUGCAACGGAAUUAGAUAGAACCGUAUCAGAUGAUUAUUAUGCUAUUAUAUUAGGAGAAUGGGCUAAAAAAUUAAAAAUUAUACCUAUAAAUAUUGAAGGAUUUUUUGAAAAUAAACCUAAUGAUUAUUAUUCACUUUAUUUAAAUACUAUUGUUCCAAUCAGUUACCAUAAUUUAAACGAAAAUAAAACAGUUGAAGAAACGAAACAAAUAUACUUCGAUUAUUUAGUUAAUUAUGGUCAUAAUUAUAACAAUAAAAAUGGAAUAAAACAAUUGGAUAAUUCCAUUGAAUUCGAACCAACCGUAGAAUAUCUUGAACGUAAUUAUAAAAAAUCAAUAGAUAAUAUUUUUCAUUAUUUUUUUUAUACUAACUCAUAUGAUAAAACACAUUUUAUAAAUAAUAUAAAAAGAACGAAUAACAAAAUUUACAAUAAAAUGCUAAAAAGCAAAAAAUAUAAUCAAUUAUUUGAUCCUAACAAGUUUUUUAAACAAAUUGUAGAAACAAAAAUACUCCAAACCAAAUCAACUAUUAAUACUAAUAAAAAUGAUAAAAAACGUAACUACUCAAGUAAUUAUGCGACGCUAAAUAAACAAAAAAAGGACAAAACAUAUCAUGAUUAUGUGGAUGAUGAGGAAGUAAAACGACAUAAAAACGAACUGGAUGAAAUGGAUGACCAAGACCAGAUAGAUGAUCAAGACCAGAUAGAUGACCAAGACCAG